CCUACGGGAGACAGCAGUAGGGAAUAUUGCUCAAUGGGGGAAACCCUGAAGCAGCAACGCCGCGUGGGGGAUGAAGGUUUUCGGAUUGGAAACUCCUUUUGUUAGAGAAGAUAAUGACGGUAUCUAACGAAUAAGCACCGGCUAACUCCGAGCCAGCAGCCGCGGUAAUAUGGCAGGUGCAAGCGUUACUCGGAAUCACUGGGCGUAAAGAGCGCGUAGGCGGGAUAGCAAGUCAGAUGUGAAAGCCUAUGGCUUAACCAUAGAACUGCAUUUGAAACUGUUAUUCUAGAGUAUGGGAGAGGUAGGUGGAAUUCGUGGUGUAGGGGUAAAAUCCGUAGAGAUCAAGAGGAAUACUCAUUGCGAAGGCGACCUGCUAGAACAUAACUGACGCUGAUGCGCGAAAGCGUGGGGAGCAAACAGGAUUAGAUACCCCAGGAGUC
rnacentral:rRNA from 1 species